rnacentral:rRNA from 1 species
GUGAACGCUGGCGGCGUGCUUAACACAUGCAAGUCGAACGAUGAAAUCUAGCUUGCUAGAUGGAUUAGUGGCGCACGGGUGAGUAAUAGAUAGGUUACCUGCCUCAUAGUCCGGGACAACAAUUGGAAACGAUUGCUAAUACCGGAUAUUCCCUACGGGGGAAAGAUUUAUCGCUAUGAGAUGGGCCUAUCUCCUAUCAGCUAGUUGGUAAGGUAAUGGCUUACCAAGGCAAUGACGGGUAGCUGGUCUUAGAGGACGAUCAGCCACACUGGAACUGAGACACGGUCCAGACUCCUACGGGAGGCAGCAGUGGGGAAUAUUGCACAAUGGGGGAAACCCUGAUGCAGCAACGCCGCGUGGAGGAUGACGCAUUUCGGUGUGUAAACUCCUUUUAUCAAGGAAGAAAUUUGACGGUACUUGAUGAAUAAGCACCGGCUAACUCCGUGCCAGCAGCCGCGGUAAUACGGAGGGUGCAAGCGUUACUCGGAAUUACUGGGCGUAAAGGACGCGUAGGCGGUUUGAUAAGUUAGAUGUGAAAUCCUAUGGCUUAACCAUAGAACUGCAUCUAAAACUGUCGGACUAGAGUGAGGGAGAGGUCAGUGGAAUUAGUGGUGUAGGGGUAAAAUCCGUAGAGAUCACUAGGAAUACUCAUAGCGAAGGCGACUGACUGGAACUUUACUGACGCUGAGGCGUGAAAGCGUGGGGAGCAAACAGGAUUAGAUACCCUGGUAGUCCACGCCCUAAACGAUGUACACUAGUUGUUGCGAUGCAAGUCAUCGCAGUAAUGCAGCUAACGCAUUAAGUGUACCGCCUGGGGAGUACGGUCGCAAGAUUAAAACUCAAAGGAAUAGACGGGGACCCGCACAAGCGGUGGAGCAUGUGGUUUAAUUCGAAGAUACGCGAAGAACCUUACCUGGACUUGACAUCCUAUAAAGGAUUUAGAGAUAGAUUUGUGCUAGUUUACUAGAAUAUAGUGACAGGUGCUGCACGGCUGUCGUCAGCUCGUGUCGUGAGAUGUUGGGUUAAGUCCCGCAACGAGCGCAACCCUCG